rnacentral:rRNA from 1 species
CAGCAGCCGCGGUAAUACAGAGGGUGCGAGCGUUAAUCGGAUUUACUGGGCGUAAAGCGUGCGUAGGCGGCUUUUUAAGUCGGAUGUGAAAUCCCUGAGCUUAACUUAGGAAUUGCAUUCGAUACUGGGAAGCUAGAGUAUGGGAGAGGAUGGUAGAAUUCCAGGUGUAGCGGUGAAAUGCGUAGAGAUCUGGAGGAAUACCGAUGGCGAAGGCAGCCAUCUGGCCUAAUACUGACGCUGAGGCACGAAAGCAUGGGGAGCAAACAGGAUUAGAUACCCCUGUAGUCCCUGUCUCUUAUAA